rnacentral:antisense_RNA from 1 species
CGCGGACGCUGACGGUCGAAUCGGCCGCACUCAAAAGGUCGGCCUCACCGAAAUACUCGCCAUCGCCCAGGAGCGCGAUGCGCAGUUCCUCGCCGUGGGUACCGGUGCUGAUGACCUCGGCCUGACCGCUGGCGACGAUGAAGAACUUCUGCUUGUCCUUGCCCUGGGUAACGAGGUUCUUGCCGCGCUGCACCUCGACGGGGACGAAGUUGCGGGCCAGGCGCGAGACGAUUUCCUGGUCGAUGUUCUGGAAGAGCGGAAUGGCGCGCAGGUUCUUGGCCGAGAAGCUUGGAACACCGUCAAAAUACUGGAUUUCAAUACGUUCUGCCUUCUUCAGUUCGACGCGGGUGCGGUUCACGCGGUAGGUUCCGCUCUCAACCUGCGUCCAUGGCAGGAGCUUGAGCAGGAGACGUGGGGUGAUGCUGCCCAUCUGGGGCGCGGUCUUGGUGGUAUUCGCAAGUUUGCGCGCAGUCGAUGU